rnacentral:rRNA from 1 species
UACGUAGGGUGCGAGCGUUAAUCGGAAUUACUGGGCGUAAAGCGCGUGUAGGCGGUUCGGUAAGUCCGCUGUGAAAGUCGGGGGCUCAACCCUCGGAAGCCGGUGGAUACUGUCGAGCUAGAGUACGGAAGAGGCGAGUGGAAUUCCUGGUGUAGCGGUGAAAUGCGCAGAUAUCAGGAGGAACACCAAUUGCGAAGGCAGCUCGCUGGGACGUUACUGACGCUGAGACGCGAAAGCGUGGGGAGCAAACAGG